rnacentral:sRNA from 1 species
UCUUUACUUUUAAUACUUACAUUAUUCCAAUUCAUAAAUACAUGUAUUAUUUUUAUUUUCUGUUAUGGCCGUGAAACGAGCCUAUUGUUUACCGUCAUGCAUAAUCAAAACUGAAUAAAGCAAUGAAUAGGAUUGAACCACUAUCGAGUCAAGUAACGACAUUGUGGGAUUAU